ACGCAGCCUAAUCACCGCCCCUAUAGUCCUUUUCUAAACGCGUGGCCGGUGCAGCUGCCCGCUGGCGCUUGCGAGCGUGCACAGGCCUACAUCCAGGGUCAUAGGUGGGGAGCGGAUCCCGUCCAUCCUCAAUCCGGGCCCGCACAGUC
rfam:Giardia lamblia ATCC 50803 strain WB C6 ctg02_45, whole genome shotgun sequence.